GUAGGUGGCAAGCGUUGUCCGGAAUUAUUGGGCGUAAAGCGCGCGCAGGCGGUUCUUUAAGCCUGAUGUGAAAGCCCACGGCUCAACCGUGGAGGGUCAUUGGAGACUGGAGAACUUGAGUACAGAAGAGGAAAGCGGAAUUCCACGUGUAGCGGUGAAAUGCGUAGAGAUGUGGAGGAACACCAGUGGCGAAGGCGGCUUUCUGGUCUGUAACUGACGCUGAGGCGCGAAAGCGUGGGGAGCAAACAGGAUUAGAUACCCUGGUAGUCCACGCCGUAAACGAUGAGUGCUAAGUGUUAGGGGGUUUUCCGCCCCCCUUAGUGCUGCAGCUAACGCAUUAAGCACUCCGCCUGGGAGUACGGCCGCAAGGCUG
rnacentral:rRNA from 1 species